CCCGGCUUUCCACGGGAGCCGUCAGCAGCACGUUACUGCAGCAGCACGUCAUAGCUGCUGAUAGGAACCGCUGUGGUCAACAGAACCUUUUCCACUGGAGCCGCCGGCAGCCGUCAGCAGCGCGAGUCGGCCGCGUCUCAGGAGCAGCAUGUCGCGGCCUUUACGCGCCGGUUCUAUUUUCUACGCGCGACGCCUCUGAAACGGGUCAAGUUCGACAUUUUUGGGGAAGGAAAGACAGGAAAUAGGAUGCGGAAACGGAGCGAAGCUCCCGAGAUUUUCAGAAUAAAGAACGUGCUGCCUUCCGGUUGCUUUACUUUUAAAAAAAGUUACUAACUGUGCGUCCCCGUGAGAAGUUAUCACCUAGCUAGCGGUCUCCUUUGUUUUUCAGGUCCGUAUUGGCGAUUAUAAAACGGACAGAACAUAAAACACAAACCAUGUUGUAGUUUUCUCCUGCUUGUUGUUGUGUUUACUGACGAAGUCACUCGUGUGAAUUCGUGCUCGGUCGGUGACAGCUGCUCCCCUGCUGCUUCGCGUCUCGUGGGAAGGGCCAAGCAGCAGCUUACGCGAGCAAGACGUGCUGCUGCAGUAACGUGCUGCUGGCGGCUCCUGUGGAAACCCGGGGUAAGAGUGGUGCUGCAUCCGUCCAUCUCAAACCACCAACAGGUGCUGUAACUCCACAUUUAUCCUACAGAGGGCGCUGUAACACCAACACAACAGCUGUUAGAAGGAGGGGUGCAUCAUUUUAGUCACAUAUUUGUAGGAAUAAAAUCUGAAUUUUCUGCCAUUUUACUCUUUAUCAUCAGUUCUGUGUAACCUUGCAUAAUAAUCACUGGAUUUUCUAGUUUUAUACAUUUCUCACCACAUGAAAAAGAAAAGGUUGGUUAUCCUGACUGAGUAACCAGAUCAAUCACCAUGUGCCUUUAUUUUUCUUAGAAUUAAACUAAAAUCGGGGCAUCAGACGUUUGUUCUUUAACAGCAAGACAUCAAUGACGGGCCUCCUAUAACACACUUUGUUUUGUAGAGAUGCAGGAUUGUUUAUGGUUGUGUAAUUACACUCCUUGCCUUGUCUCUGUCCUACGUUCGCCUUUCUGACUGAAUGAACGACUUCCUUUUCCUCUGAAACUUAAUAGUACAUGGGUGGAGACGUAUUUCAUCCACAUUGGCGGUUUUAAACAGGGGUCUGGGCCCCUAUAGAACCGGCCAUGGCCCCUGUUAUGGCCCCUGUGCUGAAGAAGAGAUCGGAGUUUUUUCCCGCGCUGCCUCAGAGACGGGAACUAACGCGCUGCAGCGUUUCACACGGAGCCUUUAGAGCGCAGCACACUAUGUGGACAGAACUGUUUACCCGGUGGAUUUUUGAAUAAAAGAUUAAAAAUAGUUUAAAUGGGACCCGAAGAAAUUCUUGAGAACGACUAACGGAAAAGACGCUAAAUAAGAGACGAAGAUAUCAGCAAGUGCAAGGAUGACCUUCCUACUCAGCCUCAUUUGAGGUCAUUUCCAGUGACAUUAAUAGGAGACAGAAGACACAGCUUUCAGCCAAGCUGGUAUGAAAGUUAUCCUUGGGUUGAAUAUUCUGUUACUAUGGACUCUAAUUAUUGUCAUGCAUGCAGACAUUUUAGCCCACCAAGUAGCGCAGGAAGUGUGUUUGACUCACCAUGUGGAUUUAGGAACUGGAAAAAAGCAACAGAGAGGAGGUUUUUUUUUUUUGGUACAUGCAAAGUCUGAAAGGCAAAAAUUGAAAUUGUCUGAAAUUGUAUUGUGCACAUAUUUAAUUUGUUUGAAUGUUUAUUUUUCACAUGUACAGUACAUGUAAUCUUCAAAUAAAGUCACAAACUAUAAUAAUCAACUAGAAUUAUUUUUUUACUCAAGUCUCAUGUUGCGGUGAAGCAUUCAGAAUUGUUAUCUGAGUACCAUAAAAACAUGCCAGUUUUACUUUCACAAGUAAAGCAUUACUGCAUUCGCUGUAAUAGUUUACUUUUUCAUUGUUUUUUAUUAUGAAUUUAUUUGAAUCUUAUUUUAGUAAAAUACAGCUAUAAGAUCAUAGAUGAAAAAAGUAAAGGAAAAGUUUUGAUAAAUUUGAUCCCCAAAAUAUAGUAAAAAUAGAUAUGAAAAAGAAGAGAACAAAAAAGUGAGUAUAGUUUCACAGUACUAGGAAUUUCCUUUGGUAAAACUGUGCACAAGCACAAAAUUAGUCAUAUGGCGGAGACAAAAAAGAAUUUUGACAUUGCCCUAAUUAUUCCCUUUUUUUUUCUUGCGCCCCCAUGAAAAAAUACUGGCCCCACUGUGGCCCCCCUGGAAAAUUUGGUCUAGAACCGCCCCUGCUUAUCACCACAACAGAUUUUCAUAAACGCUUUGAGGAGCAAGUUACAGGGACACAGCCAAUAAUCCGUUAUAUGCUGGGUCUUGGUAAAGUCACGUAUGGGCUUUGAAGAAGAGCCGAUGGAAAUAGACUAAUUGACACACACACACCCACACACACACGAGAGAGAGAGAAGGAUUAACAACGGUAAUAGAAUUCAUUGUGAUGUUUUAGAAAGGAUAGGAAUUGUAUUCAGUCUCAGUGUCCAGUCGCACAGUUUCCAUUCAAGAUUUUGUUUUAACCCUUUCCCAACGUUUAAAUUUUCUAACGUUAAAGUCAUUAGAGCACAAAAAAAAUGCACUUAGAAAGCUUCCCAUAGAAAUAUUAUAUAAUAUUUCAUAAGUCCCAAUUUUUUUUACAUGAAUUUCAUCCUUGGCUUCAGCCCUAACAAAAUAUAAUAAAAUAUGUGUGUGUUUCUCAGAUUUAACCCCUUUGUUGCCAGGUUUAUUAGCAAAAUCAGAAGUUUGAAAACUGUGCAAAAAAUGAAAAAAUCAAAUCAUUUUUUGUGUGUUAUGUCCAGAUGACCUUUUUUGUGGGUAAGUUGUCACAGCCUUGGAGUGUCACAAAAAUAUCUUUUGCUCACUUUGUAGUUUUUGUGUGAUGUCAUAUUUUCUAAAAUACUCACGUUAAAGUCAUUAGAGCACAAAAUAAUGCACUUACAAAGAUAGCCAGUUGAACACUUGAUUAAAGCACACGAACAAAGAAAAAGUGUGUGUGUGUGUGUGUGUGUGUUUUUUUACUGCCGCAGAUGUUUCACCCAUUCUUUGAUGUGCUGCUGGACAGAAAGAACUGGAGUCAGACUGUCCUCCAUGGGGGAUUCUGACCUUUUUCAAAGACCACAAAUCUACUGCUGUAAGAAAUGGUUUUCAGUUCAUUUAUGUAGAAAAACAUGUAAUAAAAGCAACUGUUUCCUCGGUGACAGUCAGCUGCAGAAGCUCUACCUGUUUUACACAAUUGUUUUAGUUCUGGACAUACAUAGGAUGGCUAGCUCCUGCAGCCUCUCUUGUCAAAACUGUCAGUGAGCUGCGGGUAAAUAACACAUUUAACAUUUAAACACAAAGUUUAAGACAGAACAUACGGAAUCCAAAUAUCUAUUAUUUGGGAGAAAAGUACUUUACAGACUUUUGUUGGCACACAGCGUCACAUUGUGAUCAGGUUUGGACCCAAGAUGCAGAAUCCCCAGAACGACUUGAGGCAGGAGUGGUUUAAGAAAAUAAAUCCUUUAUUUAAAGGAGGAUGCACCAAAAGUCCCAAGGCACAAAAAUCAGACUUAAUCCCAAAACGCACUGAGCGGUCAAAAAACAAAACUGAAGCUCACUCAUGACAAACUCGAGAGGGAACAGAACAACGCAGCCACAUACAAUGGACCUGUGUGUGUGUGCGUCAGUAAGGGCUGGGUAGUGCAUUAUAAUGGCUGCAGCGUGUCAGUUUCGAUAGGUUCUGCUUCUCUGCAUUUGCAAUACAAUUUAGAUGACAAAACUUUCUGCGUGUUGAAUUUAGGUGAUGAACUGUACGAUCAUAUCUGAGAGGUUAAAUUACCGGUUAAGACAUUAAAGGUUUGUGACAGCGGCGUAUCCACGCUUCAUCCUUCUCCUCUAGCUUCAUCAUUUUCUUAGAGGUUGGCUUUUCACCAUUCGGACACGAUCUGAGCUUUUAAAGAGGUAUGUAAGGGAGGGGGCUGUGGGAACUGCGGGGCUAAAACAAAAAAAAACUUCAUGCGCCAUUACACACAUUAGGCUAAGGCGGGGGAGCCAAGGCCAUCUGUUCAAUGAACAAUACACCAUUGAUGCUAAGGCGUGGGGGGUCAAGGUCAGGGGGUCAAAGAACAAUAGACCUUUCAAAAUGUUUGACGAAAGGUGGGUUCUUAUACUACUAUUAUCAGAAUCAGAACCAUGAGGUUUGUUGCAAGGGACAUGUUUGCACUCACCAGGAAAUAGUUUUGGCUCUUGGUGCAGGGGACAAUCAAGGUUGGGAAGGGUCGGCAACUAAUCUUUAUCUCAUUGUUCUGGAAGUGCAGGUCCUUUAAGCCGGGCGUACACUGUGCGACUUUUUCUCCUUUUUGAGCCGAUUUUCCAGUCGUGCGAGAAGCCACGAAAUCGGGGCGAGUUUUGCGCCGAGCGGUCGUGUAGUGUACAGGGGGUUACGAGAGGCGAUUAACACCACGUGACCAGCCGCCGAUCAGCAGUCGUGAGGUCGCAGGGACUUCUGGUGUGUUUAAUAUUUCGCUCGUCCCUCGUGAGGGUAUCGCACUGUUGAAGCAGCGCUGCGAGCAGCUGCGAGCAGCUACGAUCCAAAAAAGUAUCAGAACCGCUCACGGCGCAUGCGCGCGCAAUCCUGCAUCAACGCCGGCCGGUCGCUCGCUAUUUCCCUAAUAACACACGCUGUUCGUUGUUGUUUCUACAUGUUUUUUUACUCACAAAGAUUGUCAAGAAAGCGUGUUUGUCAUGUUCAUGUCAAAUUAAACUGAUCACAAAACACAGAUUCACUUUCUUUAUUUCGUUUUCCUCAUCCAACCCCCAUAAAUCCCCGUGUGUCCUCCUGCAGCACUCCCGGACAACAGGCAAGACAAAAAAGUCUGACGUGUUGAGUAAAAACUGCUAUUUUUAGCACAUUUUUAGGGCCGACGUGUUGCUACCAGACGUACAGUGUGAGCAGUCAGGUCGCAUGCGAGAACUGGGUCGUGCAGUGUGAGCACAUGACUCGUGAGAUCUGCUCUGCGAGGAAGUCGUACAGUUUGAGCUGAAGCUGAACGCUGCGAGUGAAAAAGUCGCACAGUGUACGCCCGGCAUUAGGGAGGGCAGGUUGCAGCCAGUCACCUUCUCUGCAGAGUGGAUGGCACACUGGAGCUGUUUUUGUCCAUCAUGGUGGUUGAUUUCACCGAACCGCCGCACUUCCCUGGGUCCUCUAUUCAUCACACACUUGCAUGUUUUGCAACAGAAGACCACUGGUGUGAGAGGUUUUCCAGAUGGCUGCUGCCACUUCAACUUUACGACAAACUCUAGAGUCCCAAAAAGAAAAACGCUGGAUUGUCGUGAUGCAGAGUUGGUCGCAAAAGGGCCCAAAUGCAGGUGAGCAGGAACCGGAGGCAGACUGGCAAGCAAAACUAUUUAAUAUGAAUUAUGGUAGUUUGGAUGAUACAACGGGAAGACAAGAUGAGGUUCUGACAAAGACGAGCUCAAACAGAGGGUUUCCAGACAUGAGUCAUCAGUAAGUAAUCAGGAAUCAGGUGAGACCAAUAGACACUAAACGAGAGGAGAACACAAGGGAGAAGGAGAAGAUCCGGACAAUAUUCAGCAACUUUUCAGACCCCUCUAGUGACUCUUUUUCAAAGAGGCUACUAGUGACAGAUCUAGCUACUUCUUGUGGCGUUAUUGAGUUUUACUGAGUUUUACUGUGAUGUGGCUGCAAAUUUCACUAUCUCACCCAUGAGCAAAUGACAAAAGUCCCAGCCCCGAGCCUGGAUGACGUGAUAACUGAUAUUAAAAAGCAAGAAUCGGCUGUUGUAGUUAUUAGUGUAUUUAGUGUGUUUUAACCACUUUUUCUCUCUCCCAUAGCUGCGUUUCCAUCAUCUGAACUUCAGGGAAGAUUUACAGGAACCUCCUGACAUCCACUUAACCAGGCCGGCCGAACGGCUGCUUUCCGGGCCCCUUUCAGGAACCUUCUGAGUACCUGCUCAGGGACCCAUGAUGCGGAAGUGACUUAGGCUCCCCAUUGGCAUUUGUAACAUGGAAGUCAAUGAGGAUUUGCUCACUUCUGCUGCCAGCCCCUAGAGGAGGAGGAUGGAACUGCAAUUUUAGCCAUUUCUGUGUCUGUUUCAUUUUCAUCCCAGAAUAAUGGGGGCCUGGUAAACUCACAUUUUCAUACUGACCUCC